AACGUAGGUGGCGAGCGUUAUCCGGAUUUACUGGGCGUAAAGCGUGCGCAGGCGGUUAUGUAAGACAGAUGUGAAAUCCCCGGGCUCAACCUGGGAACUGCAUUUGUGACUGCAUAGCUAGAGUACGGUAGAGGGGGAUGGAAUUCCGCGUGUAGCAGUGGAAUGCGUAGAUAUGCGGAGGAACACCGGUGGGCGAAGGCGGCAUCCUGGACCGGCAUUGACGCUGAGGAGCGAAAGCCAGGGGAGCAAACGGG
rnacentral:rRNA from 1 species